UACGUAGGGGGCAAGCGUUGUCCGGAAUCAUUGGGCGUAAAGAGCGUGUAGGCGGCCAGAUAAGUCCGCUGUGAAAACUCGAGGCUCAACUUCGAGCUGUCGGUGGAAACUAUUUGGCUAGAGUCCAGAAGAGGAGAGUGGAAUUCCUGGUGUAGCGGUGAAAUGCGCAGAUAUCAGGAAGAACACCCGUGGCGAAGGCGGCUCUCUGGUACGGAACUGACGCUGAGACGCGAAAGCGUGGGGAGCGAACAGG
rnacentral:rRNA from 1 species